rnacentral:tRNA from 1 species
CAAAUUAUCGUCUAAAGGUUAGGACAUUAGGCUUUCACCCUAAAAAUAAGGGUUCAAUUCCCUUUAAUUUGA